rnacentral:rRNA from 1 species
CGUACACUCCUACGGGAGGCAGCAGUGGGGAAUAUUGCACAAUGGGCGCAAGCCUGAUGCAGCGACGCCGCGUGGGGGAUGAAGGCCUUCGGGUUGUAAACUCCUUUCGCUAGGGACGAAGCUUUUUUGUGACGGUACCUAGAUAAGAAGCACCGGCUAACUACGUGCCAGCAGCCGCGGUAAUACGUAGGGUGCGAGCGUUGUCCGGAAUUACUGGGCGUAAAGGGCUCGUAGGUGGUUUGUCGCGUCGUCUGUGAAAUUCUGGGGCUUAACUCCGGGCGUGCAGGCGAUACGGGCAUAACUUGAGUGCUGUAGGGGUAACUGGAAUUCCUGGUGUAGCGGUGAAAUGCGCAGAUAUCAGGAGGAACACCGAUGGCGAAGGCAGGUUACUGGGCAGUUACUGACGCUGAGGAGCGAAAGCAUGGGUAGCGAACAGGAUUAGAUACCCGAGUAGUCCCA